rnacentral:rRNA from 1 species
UACAGAGGUCUCAAGCGUUGUUCGGAUUCAUUGGGCGUAAAGGGUGCGUAGGCGGCGCGGUAAGUCGGGUGUGAAAUCUCGGGGCUUAACUCCGAAACUGCAUUCGAUACUGCCGUGCUUGAGGACUGGAGAGGAGACUGGAAUUUACGGUGUAGCGGUGAAAUGCGUAGAUAUCGUGAAGGAAGACCAGUGGCGAAGGCGG